GAUGAACGCUGGCGGCGUGCCUAAUACAUGCAAGUCGAGCGAACAGACGAGGAGCUUGCUCCUCUGACGUUAGCGGCGGACGGGUGAGUAACACGUGGAUAACCUACCUAUAAGACUGGGAUAACUUCGGGAAACCGGAGCUAAUACCGGAUAAUAUAUUGAACCGCAUGGUUCAAUAGUGAAAGACGGUUUUGCUGUCACUUAUAGAUGUAUCCGCGCCGCAUUAGCUAGUUGGUAAGGUAACGGCUUACCAAGGCAACGAUGCGUAGCCGACCUGAGAGGAUGAUCGGCCACACUGGAACUGAGACACGGUCCAGACUCCUACGGGAGGCAGCAGUAGGGAAUCUUGCGCAAUGGGCGAAAGCCUGACGGAGCAACGCCGCGUGAGUGAAGAAGGUCUUCGGAUCGUAAAACUCUGUUAUUAGGAAAGAACAAAUGUGUAAGUAACUAUGCACGUCUUGACGGUACCUAAUCAGAAAGCCACGGCUAACUACGUG
rnacentral:rRNA from 1 species